ensembl:misc_RNA Metazoa_SRP Metazoan signal recognition particle RNA
GCCGGGCGUAGUGGCGAGCGCCUGUAGUCUUAGCUACUUGGGAGGCUGAGGCAGGGAAUUGCUUGAGCCCAGGAGGCAGAGGUUGCAGUGAGCCGAGAUCGUGCCACUGCACUCCAGCCUGGGCAACAGAGUGAGACUUUGUCUCAA